UACAGAGACUGCAAGCGUUAUUCGGAUUCACUGGGCGUAAAGGGUGCGCAGGCGGUCGUGUGUGUCAGGUGUGAAAUCCCGGAGCUUAACUCCGGAACUGCGCCUGAAACUACAUGACUAGAGCAUUGGAGAGGGUAGCAGAAUUCAUGGUGUAGCAGUGAAAUGCGUAGAUAUCAUGAGGAAUACCAGAGGCGAAGGCGGCUACCUGGACAAUUGCUGACGCUCAGGCACGAAAGCGUGGGGAGCAAAAGGG
rnacentral:rRNA from 1 species